ACAACACCGAGCGAAAAUGUUUGCUGGCCGAUUAAUUGUCAUACUACUGGUAUCUUAUAUCAAUAAUGAAGAUGCCGUAACUUACACAAGUCUCCAUCAAUCGUGUGAAGGCCGAACGACAACGGAAAUGCAUGAGAAAUGCGGCAUUUAUACGUUUUAUAAAAUGAAACCUCUUUUACUUGGGAGAAUAACAAUAACAUUACCAACUGCUGAAAACGAGAAUAAAGAACUGCAAAAAGAUGUAAGGUCUUCAGGCCAAAAAUCAGGAAAUAGCGUAAAGCGCCAUCCAAAACGUCAAACAAAUAUCAGAUUUGGAAUCCGAAAUUGAAAGGCAAAAGAUGAACAACCAAUUGUAGAUCGAAAGACAGAGAACUCUCCAGAAGGAAAAUAUCAAUCUCGAAGCUGAAAUUUAAAAUCUGGUAGAAAACUUAAGGAAAUAUAAACAAAAUGGGCCUUGGUUUUCUAUUUCUUUAAAAUAAUAAAAUACGCAUUAAAUUUCUAUGAAAUUGA